UUGGAGGGCAAGUCUGGUGCCAGCAGCCGCGGUAAUUCCAGCUCCAAUAGCGUAUAUUAAAGUUGUUGCAGUUAAAAAGCUCGUAGUUGAAUUUCGGGAUCAGAUUGUUGGUCGUGCCUCGGUACGUACUGGCAUUAUUGGUUCCUACCUUCUGAAGAACCGCGACGUCAUUAAUUUGGUGUCGUGGGGAAUCAGGACUGUUACUUUGAAAAAAUUAGAGUGUUUAAAGCAGGCGCACGCUUGAAUACAUUAGCAUGGAAUAAUGAAAUAGGACGUUUGAUUCUAUUUUGUUGGUUUCUAGGAUCGACGUAAUGAUUAAUAGGGAUAGUUGGGGGCAUUAGUAUUCAAUUGUCAGAGGUGAAAUUCUUGGAUUUAUUGAAGACUAACUACUGCGAAAGCAUUUGCCAAGGAUGUUUUCAUUAAUCAAGAACGAAAGUUAGGGGAUCGAAGACGAUCAGAUACCGUCGUAGUCUUAACCAUAAACUAUGCCGACUAGGGAUCGGAUGAUGUUAAUUUUUUAAUGACUCAUUCGGCGCCUUACGGGAAAC
rnacentral:rRNA from 1 species